GACGAACGCUGGCGGCGUGCCUAAUACAUGCAAGUAGAACGCUGAAGGAGGAGCUUGCUUCUCUGGAUGAGUUGCGAACGGGUGAGUAACGCGUAGGUAACCUGCCUGGUAGCGGGGGAUAACUAUUGGAAACGAUAGCUAAUACCGCAUAAGAGUAGAUGUUGCAUGACAUUUGCUUAAAAGGUGCAAUUGCAUCACUACCAGAUGGACCUGCGUUGUAUUAGCUAGUUGGUGGGGUAACGGCUCACCAAGGCGACGAUACAUAGCCGACCUGAGAGGGUGAGCGGCCACACUGGGACUGAGACACGGCCCAGACUACUACGGGAGGCAGCAGUAGGGAAUCUUCGGCAAUGGACGGAAGUCUGACCGAGCAACGCCGCGUGAGUGAAGAAGGGUUUCGGAUCGUAAAGCUCUGUUGUAAGAGAAGAACGAGUGUGAGAGUGGAAAGUUCACACUGUGACGGUAGCUUACCAGAAAGGGACGGCUAACUACGUG
rnacentral:rRNA from 1 species